GGAGGGAUGCGAGAGCGGACGAAUCGAACGGUCUUGAAAACCGUCGUGUCGCAAGGCACCGUGGGUUCGAAUCCCACUCCCUCCG
rnacentral:tRNA from 1 species